UACGAAGGGGGCUAGCGUUGCUCGGAAUCACUGGGCGUAAAGCGCACGUAGGCGGAUCGUUAAGUCAGGGGUGAAAUCCCGAGGCUCAACCUCGGAACUGCCUUUGAUACUGCAAAUCUCGAGUCCGGAAGAGGUGAGUGGAAUUCCUAGUGUAGAGGUGAAAUUCGUAGAUAUUAGGAAGAACACCAGUGGCGAAGGCGGCUCACUGGUCCGGUACUGACGCUGAGGUGCGAAAGCGUGGGGAGCAAACAGG
rnacentral:rRNA from 1 species